AUUGAACGCUAGCGGGAUGCUUUACACAUGCAAGUCGAACGAGUGGCGGACGGGUGAGUAAUAUAUCGGAACGUGCCCAGAAGCGGGGGAUAACUACUCGAAAGAGUGGCUAAUACCGCAUACGAUUUGAGCGGCCGAUAUCGGAUUAUCUAGUUGGUGGGGUAAAGGCUCACCAGGGCAAAGAUCCGUAGCUGGUUUGAGAGGACGACCAGCCACACGUGGACUGAGACACGGCCCAGACUCCUACGGUGGGCAGCAGUGGGGAAUGUUGGACAAUGGGGGCAACCCUGAUCCAGCCAUCCCGCGUGUAUGAGAAGGCCUUCGGGUUUUAAAGUACUUUUGGCAGAGAAGCGGUAUCUGCAGAAUAAGCACCGGCUAACGACGUGCCAGCAACCGCGGUAAUAC
rnacentral:rRNA from 1 species